rnacentral:rRNA from 1 species
AUUGAACGCUGGCGGCAGGCCUAACACAUGCAAGUCGAGCGGAUGAAGGGAGCUUGCUCCUGGAUUCAGCGGCGGACGGGUGAGUAAUGCCUAGGAAUCUGCCUGGUAGUGGGGGAUAACGUCCGGAAACGGGCGCUAAUACCGCAUACGUCCUGAGGGAGAAAGUGGGGGAUCUUCGGACCUCACGCUAUCAGAUGAGCCUAGGUCGGAUUAGCUAGUUGGUGGGGUAAAGGCCUACCAAGGCGACGAUCCGUAACUGGUCUGAGAGGAUGAUCAGUCACACGGGAAAUGAGACACGGUCCAGACGCCUACGGGAGGCAGCAGUGGGGAAUAUUGGACAAUGGGCGAAAGCCUGAACCAGCCAUGCCGCGGGUGUGAAGAAGGUCUUCGGAUUGUAAAGCACUUUUAGUUGGGAGGAAGGGCAGUAAGUUAAUACCUUGCUGUUUUGACGUUACCAACAGAAUAAGCACCGGCUAACUUCGUG